rnacentral:rRNA from 1 species
GGGACAACUCGGGGAAACCCGGGCUAAUACCGCAUAAUCUCUACGGAGGAAAGAGGGCCUCUACUUGUAAGCUCUCGCUAAUGGAUGAGCCCAAGUCAGAUUAGCUAGUUGGUAGGGUAAUGGCUUACCAAGGCUACGAUCUGUAGCUGGUCUGAGAGGAUGAUCAGCCACACUGGGACUGAGACACGGCCCAGACUCCUACGGGAGGCAGCAGUGGGGAAUAUUGCACAAUGGGCGCAAGCCUGAUGCAGCAAUGCCGCGUGUGUGAAGAAGGCUCUAGGGUUGUAAAGCACUUUCAAUAGAGAAGAAAAGCUUGAAGUUAAUACCUUCAAGCCUUGACGUAACCUAUACAAGAAGCACCGGCUAAUUCCGUGCCAGCAGCCGCGGUAAUACGGGAGGUGCGAGCGUUAAUCGGAAUUACUGGGCGUAAAGCGAGCGUAGGCUGUUAAAUAAGUCGAAUGUGAAAUCCCCGGGCUUAACCUGGGAACUGCACUCGAAACUAUUUAACUAGAGUAUGGGAGAGGAAAGUAGAAUUUCCGGUGUAGCGGUGAAAUGCGUAGAUAUCGGAA